rnacentral:rRNA from 1 species
AUUGAACGCUGGCGGCAGGCUUAACACAUGCAAGUCGAGCGGAGAUGAGGUGCUUGCACCUUAUCUUAGCGGCGGACGGGUGAGUAAUGCUUAGGAAUCUGCCUAUUAGUGGGGGACAACAUUCCGAAAGGAAUGCUAAUACCGCAUACGUCCUACGGGAGAAAGCAGGGGAUCUUCGGACCUUGCGCUAAUAGAUGAGCCUAAGUCGGAUUAGCUAGUUGGUGGGGUAAAGGCCUACCAAGGCGACGAUCUGUAGCGGGUCUGAGAGGAUGAUCCGCCACACUGGGACUGGGACACGGCCCAGACUCCUACGGGAGGCAGCAGUGGGGAAUAUUGGACAAUGGGGGGAACCCUGAUCCAGCCAUGCCGCGUGUGUGAAGAAGGCCUUAUGGUUGUAAAGCACUUUAAGCGAGGAGGAGGCUACUGAGACUAAUACUCUUGGAUAGUGGACGUUACUCGCAGAAUAAGCACCGGCUAACUCUGUGCCAGCAGCCGCCGUAAUAC